AACGAACGCUGGCGGCAGGCUUAACACAUGCAAGUCGAGCGCCCUGCAAGGGGAGCGGCAGACGGGUGAGUAACGCGUGGGAACGUACCCUUUUCUACGGAAUAACGCAGGGAAACUUGUGCUAAUACCGUAUACGCCCUUUUGGGGAAAGAUUUAUCGGGGAAGGAUCGGCCCGCGUUGGAUUAGCUAGUUGGUGGGGUAAAGGCCUACCAAGGCGACGAUCCAUAGCUGGUCUGAGAGGAUGAUCAGCCACAUUGGGACUGAGACACGGUCCAAACUCCUACGGGAGGCAGCAGUGGGGAAUAUUGGACAAUGGGCGCAAGCCUGAUCCAGCCAUGCCGCGUGGACGAUGAAGGCCUUAGGGUUGUAAAGUCCUUUCAGAUGGGAAGAUAAUGACGGUACCAUCAGAAGAAGCCCCGGCUAACUCCGUG
rnacentral:rRNA from 1 species